UGGCGGGCAGUCCGGGUGGUUAGGCGUCACCUGUAACCCGAUAUCGUCUUAAGCGGGGGGCGAAGCUGGCGGAAGACUUGGGGCGCUGUGUGCUCAGUCCAGGUGUCAACCAUGAUUCUCCGUCCUGUAGGGAUUGCACCGGCCCACGGGCCUUCCUGAAGGAAGGUCUGUGUGCCAUAAUUGCGGGAACCGGUUCAGGCCCGGAAGGGAGCAGACCCACCGCGGGUAACAGUCGCUUGCAGGUUUAAGGGGAGGAGAAGGCAUCGGGAUUAACUGGCAUGCAAGCUCUAUGGCAACCGCCGGCGGGCCCGCCA
rnacentral:SRP_RNA from 1 species